rnacentral:rRNA from 1 species
CCUACGGGAGGCAGCAGUGAGGAAUAUUGGUCAAUGGACGAGAGUCUGAACCAGCCAAGUAGCGUGAAGGAUGACGGCCCUAUGGGGUGUAAACUUCUGUUAUAGGGGAAUAAAAUGUGCCACGUGUGGGAGUUUGUAUGUACCAUAUGAAUAAGGAUCGGCUAACCCCGUGCCAGCAGCCGCGGUAAUACGGAGGAUCCGAUCGUUAUCCGGAUUUAUUGGGUUUCAAGGGAGCGUAGGUGGUUUGUUAAGUCAGUUGUGAACGUUUGCGGCUCAACCGUAAAAUUGCAGUUGACACUGGCAGUCUUGCGUACAGUAGAGGUGGGCGGACUUCGUGGUGUAGCGGUGCAAUGCUUAGAUCUCACG